UUAAUUGUUUACGUGUUCUACAUUAGCUUGCAGGUAGUUCCACUUCUGUCGAACGCGAUUGGUUGGCAAGGUGGAAGCAUCCUAGCUCUUGAAACCUUAAAGCGUGUUGUAGUUGCAGGGAAUCGAGCAAGAGAUGCACUUGUUGCACAGGGUCUCAAGGUUGGUCUUGUGGAAGUUCUUCUUAGCCUUCUUGAUUGGCGAGCUGGGGGAAGAAAUGGGCUUUGUUCACAGAUGAACUGGAAUGAGUAAGAAGCAGCAAUUG